rnacentral:rRNA from 1 species
UACGUAGGGUCCAAGCGUUGUCCGGAUUUAUUGGGCGUAAAGAGCUCGUAGGUGGUUCGGUAAGUCGGAUGUGAAAACUCGGGGCUCAACCCCGAGACGCCAUCCGAUACUGCUGUGACUUGAGUCUGGUAGGGGAGAUCGGAAUUCCUGGUGUAGCGGUGAAAUGCGCAGAUAUCAGGAGGAACACCGGUGGCGAAGGCGGAUCUCUGGGCCAGUACUGACACUGAGGAGCGAAAGCGUGGGGAGCGAACAGG